rnacentral:rRNA from 1 species
AUUGAACGCUGGCGGCAGGCCUAACACAUGCAAGUCGAACGAGUGGCGGACGGGUGAGUAAUGUCUGGGAAACUGCCUGAUGGAGGGGGAGAACUACUGGAAACGGUAGCUAAUACCGCAAACCAUCAGAUGUGCCCAGAUGGGAGUAGCUUGUGGGUGGGGGAACGGCUCACCAAGGCGACGAUCCCUAGCUGGUCUGAGAGGAGGACCAGCCACACUGGAACUGGGACACGGUCCAGACUCCUACGGAAGGCAGCAGUGGGGAAUAUUGCACAAUGGGCGCAAGCCUGAUGCAGCCAUGCCGCGUGUAUGAAGAAGGCCUUCGGGUUGUAAGGUACUUUCAGCGAGGAGGCGUUACCCGCAGAGGAAGCACCGGCUAACUCCGUGCCAGCAGCCGCGGUAAUAC